rnacentral:sRNA from 1 species
CGCGACAACGAUUCGGCUGUGACGCGAGCGCGGCCGCUCCCGAUGCGCUCGUGCCGCCCCCGCCGUGCUCCUCGGUAGCCGUUGCUCGGCCGGUUUUGGUAGGCCCGGGCCGCCGCCAGGCCUCCGCCUGAGCCCGCACCCGCCAUGGACAACUACGCAGAUCUUUCGGAUACCGAGCUGACCACCUUGCUGCGCCGGUACAACAUCCCGCACGGGCCUGUAGUAGGAUCAACUCGUAGGCUUUACGAGAAGAAGAUCUUCGAGUACGAGACCCAGAGGCGGCGGCUCUCGCCCCCCAGCUCGUCCGCCGCUUCCUCUUAUAGCUUCUCUGACUUGAAUUCGACUAGAGGGAAUGCAAAUAUGUAUGAUCUUCCCAAGAAAGAGGACGCUUUACUCUACCAGAGCAAGGGUAAGGCAGGGGUUGGGUGGGCACGCUGGCACCUUCACCCGACUGCGUCAGGGACCCCGCUCACAGGGAGGACCUGAGACCUCAGUCCCAACCACUCCAGCAGCCUUAGGAGGGAGAAACUGUUACAGGUCCCGAAAUAGGAUUCAGAUUAGGGCCAUCGGGCCAGGCGGGGCACACCGAUGCCCCCUCUGCUACCGCUGCCCCCCUUCCCAAGGCUACAAUGACGACUACUAUGAAGAGAGCUACUUCACUACCAGGACUUAUGGGGAGCCCGAGUCUGCAAGCCCGUCCAGGGCCGUCCGCCAGUCAGUGACUUCAUUCCCAGAUGCUGACGCUUUCCACCACCAGGUGCGUGAUGAAGAUCUUUUGUCUUCUUCUGAAGAGGAGUGCAAGGAUAGGUACGUAGUGGGGAAGCCCAGGGACGGGCUGGUUCUGGGCCCAGGCUCCUGGCCCACUUGCUCCCCUCUUUUGCCUCAGGGAACGCCCCAUGUAUGGCCGGGACAGUGCCUACCAGAGCAUCACGCACUACCGCCCUGUUUCAGCCUCCAGGAGCUCCCUGGACCUGUCUUAUUAUCCUACUUCCUCCUCCACCUCUUUUAUGUCCUCCUCAUCAUCGUCUUCAUGGCUCACCCGCCGUGCCAUCCGGCCUGAAAACCAUGCUCCUGGGGCUGGGCUGGGCCAGGAUCGCCAGGUCCCGCUCUGGGGCCAGCUGCUGCUUUUCCUGGUCUUUGUGAUCGUCCUCUUCUUCAUUUACCACUUCAUGCAGGCUGAAGAAGGCAACCCCUUCUAGAGGGAGCCGCAAGGGUCUGGGCUUCAGAGCCAGGUCUUUGGGGAAGUCCUGGCUGACUGCCUUAGCAGUGGGGGUGGGGGUG